ACUGAUUGACUGAUUGAUGGGUUGUAUUAGGCUGCGGACUGAUUGACUGAUUGAUGGGUUGUAUUAGGCUACGGAUUGAUUGAUUGAUGGGUUGUAUUAGGCUACGGAUUGAUUGAUUGAUGGGUUGUAUUAGGUUACGGAUUGAUUGAUUGAUGGGUUGUAUUAGGCUACGGAUUGAUUGAUUGAUGGGUUGUAUUAGGCUACGGAUUGAUUGAUUGAUGGGUUGUAUUAGGCUACGGAUUGAUUGAUUGAUGGGUUGUAUUAGGCUACGGAUUGAUUGAUUGAUGGGUUGUAUUAGGCUACGGAUUGAUUGAUUGAUGGGUUGUAUUAGGCUACGGAUUGAUUGAUUGAUUGAUGGGUUGUAUUAGGCUACGGAUUGAUUGAUUGAUGGGCUUUAUUAGGCUGUGAAUUGAUUGACUGAUUGAUAGUUGUGCAGUUAGUUAGGCUGCUGUGCUGGAGCGUUACAAAGACAAGGAAAAGUGCAAUAUUGAAUGAUCUAUUGAGUUGUGCAGGUUGGUUUUCUUACACUUACGCCUCACAUCAAGUACUUUCAAAGGACAAGGAGUAGAUUAAUCGGGCCCUCAUGGCACAGAAAGGUCAAACUACCAACAGGGUCAUGGAAAUAACCCUGGAAAUGUCCAAUAGUCCUGUGAAGGCCAUGUCUAAUAAUUAUGUGUACAUGGGCGCCGAAAUGCUUGCGAAUAUUGCCCGCCGUAGUCACGUCGAUAUCAUCUCACGUAGUGCGAUCAAAGUGAACCAGAGAAGUUUUGAAGAAUCACCAAGCAGCCACAGGAGUAUACUAGAAGCCACACAAGGAAGGCCGCUGCACACACUACCUCCCCGACACGGAGCUGCCCUUGUGUCUAGUGUCUUGUUCGAACCACCCGAACUGAGACUCCGAACCAUAUGUAUGUUAACUCGUCUACAUAACUCUGAUUCAAUAUGCAGGUAACUGAGGCACCUGUUACUUUAGUGUUUUUUUUUCUAUUACACUGAACGAAGAGGAAUGUCCCCACUAACACUAACUAAUUAACCGCCCACCUUGCUCAAACCUCGAAAAAAUGAACCGGUCCGUUUGAUUUCGAAGCAGAUUGCAUAAAAAGGGUGAAAUGUGUAGUAAGGUUGUUACAUCCUCAGGGGCGUUAAUUUUCAUGUAAACAUUGUACAACUUGACAACCGAAUCAAGCACCUCAUUUUUACUAUAACCGCUAGAAUUAAUUGAAGAAAAAAGUCAUCUGCGACCCACACCGCUUGUGACUCCUGAACCAACGGAGGACCUGAUUCAUAACACCACAAAGCUACUACUAAGCAAAAUAAUACACUGGGACGAAUUUCUGAAGAGGUCAAAGAGGUGGAAGUGUGCUAGACAUGAAAACACACACUAAAGGAGAUAAAUACAUACAACAAAUGCAAACACUGCGCUAAACAAAUAAACAGGGACAUAUAUUUAGGAAGUAUUAUGGUGGGAAUCAAGGGAUCAUUAAAGACAAAUCAAAUACAACUAAAAAAAAAAAAAAAAAAAAAAGAGAGAGGGGGCUAAAGGACAGGUAAAAUACAACUCACA